GAAUGCACACGUAAGCGUCAUAAAAACACUUAAGUGUUGUUCAAGUUGGGGGGGAAGGUGACUUGAGGUAUUAGCAUUAGCGGCAUUACCACUAGGCCCCACACACACAUAUACGAGCCUUUCAACUGGGUCACGGCAAGGACACACACUGAGCCAAGCUCACCAGCGGGGCGUUAACAGGCCAAAACGCCCCAAAGUCACAUUUGACAUGGCUCUUAUUACUUUGAGUCUGCCAUCUUCACGCGAAACACAGUUGUACAGUAGCGACUGGAGCCAAUCCGAUGGAUGACGGAAACAUCUCCCCUGAGACGACAAUCUCCGUGGAACGAGGAGAUUGAUGAGGUGGAGCUGUACGGAUGUUCGUGGCAAACUGCGACCGCGGCAGAUGAAUUGGGCAAAGUUAAUGCAAGAUAUUCAACACAUCGUGGCAGAUGAUGGAUGAGAGGUAGCCAGCUACCGCUAACUAGCAACUAAGCUAAUUAGCUGGCUUAGUAGAAGCAGACGUUGCCAGCCAGUACGAAUUUACACAUUUUACAGCACCGGCUUAAAACAGACCACGGCCACGAUGCAGCGAGGGAUCCUCGUUAAAUUUUCCAGAAUUUUGUGGGUGAGGCUAAAAAGUGUCCUCGUGGUGUCACGAGGAUCAGAUGAAGAUGUGGCAAGCCCCCUUAUUCCACGCAUGCAGAGGCCAUUUGGCAGAAUUGGAACUUCCUCGUUCAUAAACCCAGUUCAACCAGUAUAGUGGGCAGUUGGCCAUGAAACUAUAUCCACAACUCGAAAAAAAACAUCUUCCCUGGAAUGUAACGUGUUUUUGUGUUUGGCGACGUGUCUCGCGUGUGGCACGUUGUGUUGGGAGGCAGUGGCGACAUCAUCUGGAAGGACUUCCGCAACUUCGUCAUCUGAAAUCUACACAAGAACUUGAGUCUAAAAUGGGAAAAUGUCUUUUUUUUUUUUUUACUUUUUCAGAAAACGAGAAAAUGAAGAUGCAUUCUUCAUCUUCAACCUUUUAAUCAAAAAUGUAUCUUCACAAAUGUAAAUAUAGUCAGCAAUUACCUUCCUUUAGCCAUUUUUUACAAUGAUACAGUCUUUAUGAUGAAACUUCUGAAGGACUCUCCUAACAAAGAGGCUUUGAAAACGCUCAGUGUUUUGUAAAAAAAUCAAUUUAUUUCUAAAUGCUGUUCCUUACCCCCUGGCAGAAAAUGUUCUGUAUGCACUUUGUAUACAGGCAGCGGAGCCGGACGUCAACGCACGUCUUUGCUGACAGCGGGGACGUUGGAGUGUCGGAGCUCUCAACGACACGUCCGCAGCAUCUGGAAGCUGAAAGAAUGUCUCAAUCCUUGACCAUUUUGAAGCUUGAUUUCACAUUCUUUGCGAUAUUUUCAUCCAUUCAUUCAUUGGCUGCCUUGUUAACAAGACUCUUUGCUGUUAUGUGUCAAAUUUAGAAGAUUUGUUUAUUUUCUGCUCUGUUUUGGGGGUCUUUCAGUUACAUAAUUCCUUUUAGAGUCCUUGUUUGCAUUCCACACACAAUGGCCUCAAAAUAUAACUUUUUCAACAAUCUGUUAAAUAGUCCCUGAACUGAUCUUUUUUGAUCUGGGAGGAUUUCACUGUAAUAGUCUUCCACCAGAUUAGAACCCAGAUACAUGGAAUAAAACUGAAAAUGAAUGUGAGCAAAGCUGUUUACUAUGUCCAUGGAUGUGUUGCCUACUAUCGCAUUAAUUUAUCUACUGCAUAAAAGUCCAGGUCUAGAUGUUAACAUUGAAUGGGAAAACCCCUUUGAGCAGUAACG